rnacentral:lncRNA from 1 species
UGGACCUUCUGACAGAGCAACAAGUGCUCUUAACCACAGGAGCGUCUCUCCAGUCUACCUAAUAAUUUAAAAUAUCUGUCCUUGGCUAAAAAGAUGGCUCAAUGGGUAAGGGUUCUUGUCACCAAGCCUGAUGAUGGUCUAAGUUUUAUCCUUGGGAUCCACAUGGUGGAAGGAGACAGUUGCUUCAAGUUGUCCUCUGGCCUUCAUAUAUGUGCUGUGGCAUGCAUGAUUGCCUAUCACUGCCAUGACAAGAGACACCAUCCCUCAGAAGAUAGAUGUCAGGAAGAGCAUGUGGUGAGUGGCAUCGGGAUGUGCAUGUGGGGACACUUACCCUGAUGGUCUCAGAGACAAUAACUGUUGGGUGAGCAAAGGACAUGCUUACGGGGAGUUCUCUUUUCUGUUGAAACUCGGUUCCAAAACUGGGUGUGCAGCUGUAAUCCCAGCACUUGGGACAUGGAGACAGGAAAAUCAAAAGUUCAAGGUUCUUCUCGGGCACAAAGGUCUCCUGUGCCUCAGACUGGCCUUGAAGUUUCUAUACAGCAGAGGGGAUAACGUUGAAUUUCUGAUCCCAUGUCUUCACCUCCUGAGUGACAGGAUUACAGGUGUGCCUCACUGCAUGUGAUUUCUGGGGCACUGGGGAUGGGAAACGGGACUUCAUGCAAACCAACUGAGUUACCUCCCAAGGCAAUGUUGAUAGUCAUGAGACCAGAAAAUAUACAGAUGAGGAAACUGGUAUGUUAAGGAAGCCGUGAGGCUAUUUGACAUAUAUUUCCCCUAAAAUAUUUUUGAAAACAAGAAAAUAUGAAAAUUCACCCAAAAGUUUAACAUUGAAGAUAUUAUCCAGAAAGUCAAAAGUAACCAAGAAAAGGAAGCAAUGGACCACCAAGAAGGCUCAGUGGGUACAGGCGCUUGCUACGAAGCCUGACCCAUAGACUCAUAUUCAAAGGCAGGAGGAGGUAUUCACAGGUUAGCAUGGCACAGGAGACAAAGAGCUAAAAUAUAAAAUGAUAGCAAAGUAGCUUAAGAAAAUUGGGCAUCACCCUUCCUGCCUCCUUAGGAUACCUGUAAGAAGGAGGCAAGCACGUUUGUGUAAGUGGCUUUAGGACGGGAG